rnacentral:misc_RNA from 1 species
UGUUUUCAUAAUAUUAGCUUAAUGGAAAUUGAGUUCCUUCUAGAUAUAGCAACAAUGAGUUGUAGUUUCAAGGUACUUGCUACUUUUGUGAAGAUGCGUUCAUAAUUUAGAAGGUUUCCUUUUUAACAAAAAAAAAAAGGCCUCAUUACUCCAUGAAAUUCUGCUAUGGUGCAAAGUUAGAUUUUUAGAAAUUAUGAGUUAACAUGUGAAAAUCAAUUAGAGG